UCAUCCUAAAUAAUUUUAUGUCCUGUUUUACCUAACAGGCACAUCAGUGGCAAGUAAAUACUAGAAUAGGAUCAAGUGUAUUCAUACAACAAAUGAUCUAGCCACAGGACGUCCUCAUAAACUAACAGACGUACCAAGCAGGACCACGGUGUAGACGCCCCCUGUUUGGGCACUUACAUGAGCACAGCAAGCACUGGCAAUGUGAAGAUGAACGAAAUCCAACCCCUGCUCCUAAGGGGUUCACAACCUAAAGAGAGCACUACGGGUACCUGUUUGUUGAAGACUCGAACUCGAAAGUCCUUUCCCGCUCUGAAACCAAGCAAUUGUCUUCACAACUGAUAAUCAUUUAAACACUCCCUGACUUAUGACGGUUUGACGUUAAGAUUUUUCAACUUUAUGAUAGUGUGACAGCAUUACACAUUCAACAGAAACUUCGAAUUCUGAAUUUCGAUCUUUUCCCAAACUAGUCAUAUACAGUGCCACGCUCUCGACAUGCUGGGCAGUCCCAGCCGGCUCCAGGCUAUAGCAGGAGGGUGAAUUUACCGGGGCAGUCCAACAGAAUCCAGCGAGAGAUACUAAUUCAGCGCAACCCGCACCCAGCAUCGGGCUUUCUUUAGAAGCCAACGCUUCCACCGCAAUACCUUUUCCAAAACUCUAUCAAAACCG